UACGAAGGGGGCUAGCGUUGCUCGGAAUCACUGGGCGUAAAGCGCACGUAGGCGGCUUUUUAAGUCAGGGGUGAAAUCCUGGAGCUCAACUCCAGAACUGCCUUUGAUACUGGGAAGCUUGAGUCCGGAAGAGGUGAGUGGAACUCCGAGUGUAGAGGUGAAAUUCGUAGAUAUUCGGAAGAACACCAGUGGCGAAGGCGGCUCACUGGUCCGGUACUGACGCUGAGGUGCGAAAGCGUGGGGAGCGAACAGG
rnacentral:rRNA from 1 species